rnacentral:rRNA from 1 species
GAACGAGAUCUUCGGAUCUAGUGGCGCACGGGUGCGUAACGCGUGGGAAUCUGCCCUUGGGUUCGGAAUAACUUCUGGAAACGGAAGCUAAUACCGGAUGAUGACGUAAGUCCAAAGAUUUAUCGCCCAAGGAUGAGCCCGCGUAGGAUUAGCUAGUUGGUGGGGUAAAGGCCCACCAAGGCGACGAUCCUUAGCUGGUCUGAGAGGAUGAUCAGCCACACUGGGACUGAGACACGGCCCAGACUCCUACGGGAGGCAGCAGUAGGGAAUAUUGGACAAUGGGGGAAACCCUGAUCCAGCAAUGCCGCGUGAGUGAUGAAGGCCUUAGGGUUGUAAAGCUCUUUUACCCGGGAUGAUAAUGACAGUACCGGGAGAAUAAGCUCCGGCUAACUCCGUGCCAGCAGCCGCGGUAAUACGGAGGGAGCUAGCGUUGUUCGGAAUUACUGG